AUUGAACGCUGGCGGAAUGCUUUACACAUGCAAGUCGAGCGGCAGCGCGGGGGCAACCCUGGCGGCGAGCGGCGAACGGGUGAGUAAUGCAUCGGAACGUACCCUGGAGUGGGGGAUAACGCCGCGAAAGCGGCGCUAAUACCGCAUAUGCUCUGAGGAGGAAAGUGGGGGACCGCAAGGCCUCACGCUCUGGGAGCGGCCGAUGUCCGAUUAGCUAGUUGGUGGGGUAAAGGCUUACCAAGGCGACGAUCGGUAGCUGGUCUGAGAGGAUGAUCAGCCACACUGGGACUGAGACACGGCCCAGACUCCUACGGGAGGCAGCAGUGGGGAAUCUUGCGCAAUGGGCGGAAGCCUGACGCAGCAACGCCGCGUGCGGGAUGAAGGCCUGGUGUAACGCUUCUAGCAGGGACGAAGUUAGACGGUACCUGCAGAAGAAGCCCGGCCGAACUACGUGCCAGCAGCCGCGGUAA
rnacentral:rRNA from 1 species